rnacentral:rRNA from 1 species
GAUCCUGGCUCAGAAUCAACGCUGGCGGCGUGCCUCAGACAUGCAAGUCGAACGAUUAAAGCCCUCUUCGGAGGGUGCAUAAAGUGGCGCACGGGUGAGUAACACGUAAGUAAUCUACCUUCGAGUGGGGAAUAACGUUCGGAAACGAACGCUAAUACCGCAUAAUGCAGCGGCAUCGCAAGAUGACAGUUGUUAAAGAUUUAUCGCUUGAAGAGGAGCUUGCGGCAGAUUAGCUAGUUGGUAAGGUAACGGCUUACCAAGGCGACGAUCUGUAUCCGGUCUAAGAGGACGGUCGGACACACUGACACUGAAUAACGGGUCAGACUCCUACGGGAGGCAGCAG